rnacentral:rRNA from 1 species
AUGAACGCUGGCGGCGUGCUUAAGACAUGCAAGUCGUACGUGAAAGUCCCGCAAGGGAUGAGUAAAGUGGCGCACGGGUGAGUAAUACUUAGGUAACGUGCCUCUUUGCUGGGGAUAACCAGGCGAAAGCUUGGCUAAUACCGAAUAUCCGACAGAAACCUCGGUUUUUGUUGGGAAAGCCGUAAGGCGCGAAGAGUGCGGCCUGAGUCCCAUUAGCUAGUUGGUGAGGUAACGGCUCACCAAGGCUUCAAUGGGUAGCUGGUCUGAGAGGAUGAUCAGCCACACUGGUACUGGAACACGGACCAGACUCCUACGGGAGGCAGCAGUUAGGAAUCUUGCGCAAUGGGCGAAAGCCUGACGCAGCAACGCCGCGUGAGGGAUGAAGGCCUUCGGGUCGUAAACCUCUUUUGGUGGGGACAAAAAAAAUGAUGGUACCCACAGAAAAAGCACCGGCUAACUCUGU